rnacentral:rRNA from 1 species
AUGUUGCUCAAGCUGCUCAAGCUGGAGAUGAUGAAGGUGGUGACGCGGCCAUUGCAACUGCCUGUUAGCAUUAUGAGUCCGGUCAAGUCGGCGAGAGGCAAUGAUGGAAAAGUUGCUUUAGAGCUUGAUGCUUGUGCUCGUUUGUUUGAGAGUCGGCAUGUGGCUAGGGUUCAUGCAGCUAGUUUUGGUUCUAUCUUGAAGUGGAAGGUGAAUUCUAACAUUUCCCGCCCUUUGAUGGGAGUUUUGUACCUGAAGAUACAUCCUGAUACGAUGACUCUUGACAUGGGUGAGGCGAAUAAGAAGCUUUGUAUCACUAGCGAUUGUAUACAACAACUAUUUGGUUUCCCUCGCGGUGGUCGUUCUGCACCAAGGCCCUCAGAGGACGAAUAUAAUGAAGCUCUGAUGAAGUUAAGAUUGGAGCUUGACAUUGGCAAGAACAGAGAUAUCAAGAUGAAGGAUUUGAGGGAUAAGCUCAAGGUGCUUGUCAAGGAUCGUAGCAAAGAUGACCUUGCUCUAAAAGUGUUCUUCAUUAUUGUGUUUAUGGAAGUUGUUUGGCCUGGUGCGGCCCAUCGUGUUUCUAGACAGGCGGCAAUGUUUGAGGAUCUUGUCAUUGAGGACAUGGCUAAUAUGGAUUAUUGCCAACUGAUGGUUGAUGAGCUUAGAAGGACUGUUGUCAGGUACAAAGAUGGUGUUACCCUUGGGAAGGCAAUCACAGGUUGUGCUGUAGGGCCUAUACUAAUGUACCUUGAUUGCCCUAUCCGUGGCAAGUUUCUGGAGGUUGACAUUGGAAAACUCAAUAGGAAGUUGUCUUUUUCCGGGUGUAUAAACAUCCAGUCCUGGAGAUGCCGUCUCAGGUUCCGAAGAUUUCAUCUCUACACGGGUUUUGGUAUUGAUGUAGCUGUUUCUGCGUUGGAGCGCACUGAGCACAUUUUUAUUAAUGUGCGUUCUGAGCUGGAAAAGGUCCCAUCUACAGUUGAGCGUCUGAGCUGUAUCAACAUUAUCCUCCCUGAUGGUCAUCAGUUUAAUGCUGAUGAAGCAGUGGACUACAUUGAAGUGGAGAGAAUUUUAAUUAGUGAUAUGCAUGAUGGUGCUGCUCAACUAAUACAGAGCCCGGUUCGUCUGUUGAACAACAUGAAGCGUUUCAAAACUAUGCAAGACUCUCGCUGCAAUCCAUAUGAAGAAAGUGCUAAUGUUGUUAUCACUCAGAUUGAGCAGGAUGAGGCUGCUGCCACUGCCAGCAGGGCUAGUGAUGGUACUGAGGCUAAUGUUUCGGACCACCAUAUGAAUGAUGUUCGUUUGGAGCCCCCUGUUGUUGAGGAGCCCUGUCAUGAUGUUGAGGCUGCUAUUGGCUAUGGAGUUAAUGAUCCAUCUAUUGAUAAGAGCAAGCAUGUUUUGGGCUUCAUUACUAUGAAUCAGGAUCCUAUUGUUGGUGAUGAGCCUUGUUCGAUCAUCGGUGAUGUUCCUUUGAGUGUUAGCAGCAACAACAUCAGUGGUGUUGCUGUGGAUGCUGCUAAGAUGACUGAUGUUGAGUGCGAGGCUGCCGUAACUGUUGGAGGUGAUGCUUGUGGUGUUCCAUUGAGCAGUGAGCAUGAUGUUGGUAGCAAAGUUGCUAAUGAGGAUGUUGAUGCUGCCAGCAUACUUGAUGCCAAAUCGUCUGGUGUUGGUAUUGCUGAGAGUGAUAUUCUUUCUGGUUCUGGAGAAUUGCCGUUGGAAAAUUUCCCGCCUAGAGGGCUUGAUUAUGGUGAUGCAUUGCAAGACGCCGAUGUGUCUAGCAUGGAGGAGGUGCCAACUGAGGAUGAUGAUUUCAUUCUGUCUAUUUCUUCUGGCCCCUUGGCCAAUGAGGCGCUCCUGUCGUCCCAGGAUUGUUUUUCUUUAGACCCUGGAAGCGCUACCAUAUUGUUGUCCUCACAGGAUGUUGCGUCGUCAAACCCUGAAAGCGCAGGCAUAUUGCUGUCGUCACAGGAACUCCCAUCGACAAACACUGAAAGUGUAGGUAAGGACUUGUAA